GACAGAGCCUCUGCCCUGAGACUCAGAGAAACGCUCUCCUGUGCCUCCCUCCGCUCAGUAUAGAUUUCUAGACCCUGAUCAUUGCUUAAGAGAUAUUCACCGGGGUCCUACGUCUCUGCAAUUUGUGUAUGAAUAACAGAAUAAUUUCCCUCUUUUGUUUCGCCUUUCCUGUUCCUGAAUCUAAAUAAAGAUGGCUUUUUAGUAUUAAAAGUGGAAGAAAAUUACAGGUAAUUAUCUUUGACGGUAAAAACGCUGUAAUCAGCGGGCUACAUGAAAAAUUACUCUAAUUAUGGCUGCAUUUAAGAGAAUGGAAAAAAACCUUCUUGUGGAUAAAAACCUUAAAUUGUCCCCAAUGUCUGCUUCAAAUUGGAUGGCACUGCAGCUGGAGGCUUUGUUCAGAAUUGAUCCUGGGGAGCUACGAACCCAAAGUUUCACAGUAGGAAGGGGGAAAAAAGAAAAGAAAACAUUUUUCCUAAUGUAACAAUGCGAAUGCUAGAAAAUGACAAGACUGAUCGGUUUUAAACCAUUCUGAAGACUGACUGAGCGUGGAAGUUGCUCAACAAAAAAGGGAACGGGGAUAUUGAACCAGAGAGAAACCUACGCCCAGAAGAACAUGUCCCUGGAUUGCUUUCCCACUGCUGUGGAGUGUCUUGAACACUGGUCCCUGGACACCAACUUCAAGAAGACUUCAUGGAUGGCUGUCCAGUCUUAUGAGCCACAGUUUCCCCUCUACAUUUUCUUCACUCCAGCGAGGCUCUUAUCAGGGUCAGAUCAGAGAUGAACCAGCUGGACGACAGAUUGGAGCGCUGACCUCUUAGAGUGCUAACAGUGAACAGUGUGGGGUCAGAUCUAUAGAAAGAUAAUAAUAAGAAAACACCCUAUAUGCAAGGGAGAGGGAUGGUUCAUAAUUUCUUAAAGAUUGAAAUCAAGGAACAAUCAAAAUAUAGAGGAAUGUGGACGUGUUUUGCUGCAGGACUUCUGUUUUGUCCCCACUGGAAUAUGUAUUAUGGUAUUCCUGUUGGAUCAGGACUCAGGGGCAAGGCUAAGCAUUCCAGUGGUCCUCCUACCUAGCUCUUGUCCUUUCGUAAGAAACACCAACUCAUUAGUUUCUAUAUUACUUCUCUGUACUGUAGAUCUGCAUUCUUGAUCUGAGAGAUAUUGGCAAUGACACUCUUGUAUGAUAAAGCUCAAUGAUAAGAGUACUUCAAACCCCCUUGAACUUUUUGUUUAUACAUCAAGUGGUGACAUUGUGUAUUGAGCUAAUUAGAUCAAUGGAGUCACAGGGUGAUACUGAACUCUUUAAAAAUAUUUGGCUGAAACAUGACAUUGUAGUUAUUUGUAGAAGAGAACAUUAUGGAAUAUGAAAAACAUCACAGAACACAGAACUAGCAGCAGAAACUAUCAGCAGGUAGACAUUUUUCCUUUUCCAUAGAGCUUUCAACCAAAUGUCUCUGUAGAAAAUAGUGGCUAUCAUAUAUAUGUAGCCACAUAGAUGUCCUUGAGUGUACCCUGUAGUCAGUGGGAGAGUUCCUACUGCCACAGUCAUGGCCAUGGCUAUGUUCUCUAAGCCUACAUUUUAUAAACACUCUGUGAAUCUUGACUACUUUUCUUUAGCAAGCAUUGCAAAGUCCUGGGAUGUCAGAGAAGUGCCUGGGGUUGGCAGGGUUUCUAGAGAGGAAAUUGUUAAAUGAUUUGAACCAGAAAACAAACAGGGGAUAGGGUUCAGAACCAACAAUUACCUCUAUUCUAUGUAGGAAACCACAACAUGAAAUAUGCUGGGCAUGGAAACUUUGAUACCUUGGUUUUUCAUUCUUUUUAAAAAUUAAUACUAAAAAGCUAUGCGACUGUAGGCAAGCCAUUUCCCAUCCCCUGUGAAUAUCUCCCAGAUGACUUUAAAUCCCUUCUAGUUCUGAAAGGCUUUUAACAUCAGGGCCCAGGCUCCAGUGGCCAGUUUCAAAAUACCCUCCCUUUUGAUGUUAGGUUACAUAAACAUUGUUCUUUUUUAGGGAGGGUCUCUUUUAUCAACUUUUAAAAACACACAUCAGGUUCUCUGGUAUUAAAAAGAUGCUAUCUCUGAGUCCCCUACUAUCUGUGCUGUCUGCCUUUCCUCCUGUUCUUUCCUUAUUCCCAUCCCUAUUGAACUUGUGCUAUGCAGUAUGCAUCAGGUAUGUGUUAGCUUUGGGGAUACAUGAUAGAUAAACUGGACACACAGGGUCUUCCCAUUCUCUUCUGGAAUUUUCUUUGGAGGGAGCCUCUUGUAUCUAGACAGACCGUGCUGUGGUACCCCGGAGGUAACCACCUACAGGCUUCACUCUGCCUAAGCAAUUUUGCUGUGCACUAAGAUACACAUUCAAGUAACUUUAGAUUACCACAAGAACUUUCUCCAGGUAUGAGGAAAAGAGAUAAUUUACUUCUGAGAUGUGUAUAGGAUAGCCCUCCAUCCUGGGAAGAACAGUGACUACUCCCUGCAUCCCGACCUUGCCCAGGGAAAGCUAAUGUUUCUCUGUGUUAUCCCUGUGACUUGCCACUUCUUUAAAAAGGAAUGGGCAAACAAUAAACAGACAAAAAUGUUGUCUGACCUCAUUGGAAAUCCUUUUAAGAAUUAAUCCUUUCUAUCUCCUUCAUUAUCAACAAAUCUAUUGAAUACUUAUCUCUGAGUCCAGGGCAUAUUUUAUAAUACAUAAAACAAUGGAAUUUCAAAAUUGGAGCACUGACAUACAAUAUUGGUUUUGAGUAUUUUUAUUAUAGGGAAUGACUUUAGACAUUGCAAUUUAUGACUUAACUGGUAAAAUGGAUGACUCUUGACUUUCAAUUUUCAUUUUCAGUUCAGUCGAGGAAUAGCUUCCUCCAGGUAAUGUCUAUACUUUCCUAUGACUAAGGGCUCUAUCUCUGUUGCUUUUCUUUAUGUGGGCGUAUGUUAGUAUUUAUUUUCUAUAUGACAAAUGUAUUAAAGAAAGCAUGAAAUUAAUGAGAUAAACUUUUCGGAUAGGAGUUUAGAAAAUCAAGGGGCCAAGAUAAAUAAAUGAAAAAUCAACUUAAAUAAUUAACAUAUUCCAGAUAUAUUGGAAUAAAUGUUUAUUGUACCCUUUUGGUUUUGUCUUGGGUUAUUUUUUUCUUAUCUCACUGAUUUUUUUUCUUUCCUUUUUAGCUUUUUUGUCUUUUUUGAUUUUUGUUGUUGCGUUUCUCCUUUUUUUUUUCUUGUUGAUGUUGUUUGUUUGUUUGUUUGUUUUUUGAGAAAGAACAGAAGGUUGGUUGGAUAGGGAGGUGGGGAAGAUCUAUCUGGAUGGAGUUGGGAGGAGGGAAAAUACACGAUCAAAAUAUAUUUUGUGAUGGGCAGGGCAUAGUGGUACAUGUCUUUAAUCUCAGCACUCUGGAGGCAGAGGCAGGUGGAUCUCUAUGAGAUGGAGGCUAGCCUGGUAUACAAAGUGAGACCAGAACAUAGGGCUGCCUCAAAAACUUUAUAUAUAUAUUAAAAAUGUUUGCUUUUUGAGACAGUCACAGAUAACCAAAACUGAUCUUGCAAUGAUGUAAACAUGUCCAGCUAAUUUUCAAAUAUUGUAGGGCAGCAUUUCUCCCUUUGUGCACAAUUGGAGUCAACAAAUCCAUAUAAUUCUAACCAUUCUGGUGAAAAGGAGAACACUCGGCCAAGCAUCUCACACUUCCAAGUGUGAAGCCUUGUUUGAAAGCUCCGAGUAUCUAAAUAGUAGCCCUGUGAAAGGUAAAUUUAUGAAUGGUCUGGUGUGUUCUUAUUCCAGCCAUUGACCUUAAAGCAACUUAUAUAUGUUUUCUUUAUCCUUCAAGAGAAAAGAAAAAUCAUAUUUUUCCAAGCAAUUAAAAUUCUUCUGCUCCAGGUAGGAAGAAGGAAUUAGGAGUUAUGUCUCCUUGUAUAUAAUUGCAAGUUUCAUCUUUCUUGUUUUAAUGAUUGACAGAAAACUGAUAAACUGAGACAUCUCCUUAUUAGGGUUGAAUGUACUCUCUUGGUGGCCCCAUUGCUAAUUUGUUUGACUAUUUUCCGUGAUUUCUUACUCUGUAAUGGAAAGGUUUAUUAAAUAUGAGGGUUGCAAAGCUUUCUGAAUACUAAUGAACUUAUUUGCCAAAAUUUAAAUGUUCUUCUUGUCAGUGAAUGCCUGUCUCACUUAACAGGCACCAAAUUGAAUAAUGAAGAAAAUUAGACUCUAUCGUACCCUCAAGAGAAAUCGCGUGUGAAUUGUAAUAGAAAAUUGAGGGAGAAAAGGGUCAUAUUGUAGCAAUAACACUAGAUAAUUUGGAUUAUUUUAAAAAAGGAUGAACUUAGGGAAGCUCAGGUCUUUUCAAAGAAACACACAUUUGGUUAAUUCAUGCAAAACGCUGGUUUCCCCUCAACCCAGGUGGUCUAUACCUAUUGCCAGUUUACAGAAAAAGGAAGCCAGGUGGAUGGAAAACGUGUGCCAGGUUUCUGUGCUUACAAUCCACUAAACUCAUUCUCAUAUGAGGACUUUAUAUACCUGUGAUGGAGUGGGAAAAUCAAUAACCUGGAAAAAAUGAGUACCAUUUUCCAAAGAAGUUCAAUAAAGAGAUGGAAUUUGGGAAACUGCUGCAGUUCUUCCUAUAAGCAUA
ensembl:antisense Dlx6os1 distal-less homeobox 6, opposite strand 1